rnacentral:rRNA from 1 species
CAACGCCGCGUGGAGGGAUGAAAGUCCCCUUUGGGGACGGUAAAACUCCUUUUCGAUCGGGACGAUAAUGACGGACCGAGAGAAGAAGCCCCGGCUAACUUCGUGC